ensembl:lncRNA
GAUGAUUCAACUUUUUCCAAUAGACAGCAGGAGCCACGGAACGGUUGUGAGCAGGAGAGCACAAUCCCACAGGUAGCAUUUUGCCAAGGCUGCCAUUUGCAGAAGCCUCUCCGCUUAUUUGUCCUUUCUCUUGAAUACCACGAUCACAUCAGCUCUGUUCACAGUCACAGACGACAGAACUCCCCAGCCAGGGUGCCUUGGCACAGAAGCCAGGCCGCCUCGGUGGUCUGCAAGGGUCUUCUCCCAGGUCUAGGAGCGCUGAGAGUCAGAAGCAGCGCCUGUGACGUUUCACUUGACCAGCUUACCCUCCACUGUGCUCGAGCAGUUGAAUUUGUGAACCCAACACAGUGUUUGGCAUUGAUCUGGUCGUAGGCAGUCACGGGGAGAGGCACAGUCAGGAGCCGAAGAGAGAGAAGAAAUAGAGGCAAAGAGAAGGUGAGACAGUCAAGGGAAAGCCGGCAAGGAGAAGGGACCAUCAGCAGAAGCAUGGAGAAAGAGAUGGAAGAAACCCGGCAGAGGCCCCACGAGAGGACUUGGUAACCUCAGUGCAAAAAAACAAAAUGCUUUCAGGUGACUAAGAGGUAAUCGGCCGCAGAAUGAGGGAAUCGGGGAUACUGGGAGAGCACGAAAGCCCAGAGCAGGAGAAUGUGGUCAGGCUUGUGGGCGAGACAACACCCGCUAGGGUCGGCAGGCAUUGACCAGAGCAAGGCAGAUCGAAGGGACUGGGAUGAUCACUCCUCCUCUCUCUCUUUCUUCUAUUUCUGACAUUCUCUACCCUUCUACCCGUCUCUUGGGUAGCUUAUCUGCCUUUUGCUCUUUCUUGAGUCAAUCAAUCAAUCAAUCGAUCAACUUCUCUUCUCCUCCUUUUCCUCUCUUAUCUCAAAAGUGUUUUGCAAGUUACAGUUAUUGACUUAUUAGUAGGUUAUGAAGCUAGUGUUGCAGGUUAUAACAAGCAGUUUAUAAAACACUGAAAUAGGAUAGAAUAUAUAGAAUAAUGUACAAUAAAAUAGAAAACAGUGCGUCUUAGGGUAGGGAUAAACUUUUGUGUUUAGUAAAGUUAUAUGUGUGUUGUGAGUAUCAGUGUGUAAAAUUAUUUUCAUGUUGUAUAGUAUAGCCCAAAAUUUUGAAGGCCACUGGGAUAUAAUUUACAACCAAAGAAAUCUCUUCAUUAUUUGAUAUAGCUAAUAAUAAGAAAGAAGAUAAUAAGAAGAUAACAAUAAGAUAAUAAUAAAAAAAAUCUUUUUAUUAUUUGAUAUAGCUAAUAAUCUUUUUCUGAUGAGUACUUUUAAGAGGAUCAUAUUGAUUAAGUUUUAAUAUUUCUUUUUCUCAACUUCUAUCCCCACCCCCAAGGUCAGGAAUUUUUCAAUUACUUUUUCCUAGAAUUUUUUCUCUUUUGUGGAUUAGCAUCCAUGGAAAGAAAAUGUGUUCUUUAGUUGAAAAACCUCAUUAAAUCCAGAAUUCACAUAAGUACUUGCUUCAGUUCAGUUCCACAGACAAUAUUUAUCAUCUGGAUGCAAACCAGUCCUGAUGGUUAGGUUGUUGUCUCAGAAAGGGUGAAUUUCAUUAACCACUCUUGGAUGGCGGGCAACAGGGUGUCGAGAAGUGUACUUAAUUAAAUUUAUACUACAUGUGGAGGGUUUUCUUGGGAUGAGGAGCGACAGGGAAGCCUCACUCCUGCGCUGUACUUGCCUCUGUCCUUGGGUUCAAAUCGGUCCCACCCGUCAGAGGACGGCAUGCCAUCUCCUUCAUGAGUGCCAGCUCACGAGUCAGUAGAGUUAACUGUAUACAGCCUGUGCGGGUGAUUCCACCAUGCUUUUUAUCUCGACUGUGUUACAAAUCUUAAAAGCCUUCCAUACUUGUUGAAUCAAAAUUAAACCAGCAAAGUGUAUAAAAAGGAGAAUCUUCAAGUGUUCUCCCAUCUCCUCUGACCCCACAGCUCCCAGCUCAGGCCUCUUCACAAGAUGAUGUCAAGGACUUGCUGAUGUGUCUCCUUCUGGAUACAGAGCAACUUAACUCAGAACUGACCGUCUGCCUGAGUCUCCUGGGGUCUCGUUAAUGCUGAUUCUGACUCAGCAAGGUGGGGCAGGGCUAGAGACUCCCCUCUUCUAACAAGCUUGCAGGCCCAGGAACCACACCUGUUGUGGCCAUACUGCUCGCUGUCCAACACAGCAACCAUGCACCACGUAUGGCUGUUUAAAUUUCAAAUUUUAUUAAAAUUAAAUAGAGUUAAAACUCCCAUUUCCUCACUCGCAGCUGCCACAUCUUGAAAGCACGCUUGUCAUACAUGGCUGUUGGCUACUGGAUUGGGCAGCAUGGAUAAAGAACAUGUUUUAUCACAGCCAGUCCUGUUGGACAGAGUGUGCUUCCAGCUCUCCCUAGGUCAGUACUAACAUACAUCCCGCUUCCUGUGGGCUUAAAAAGCGGUGAGCAGGGACUUCCUUGGUGGCCCAGUGGUUAAGACUCUGUGCUUCCAAUGCAGGGGGCGCAGCUUCCAUCCCUGGUUAGAUAAGAUUCCAAACAUGCUAUAUGGCAACCACAACAAAAAGAUGACCGAAUUUCGUGAGAAUUCAUUCUCCUCUGGACAGACAUACAGUGAGUUUUAAACAGAGAAAGCUGGAUGAGUGUGAAGGGUAGCCACUGCCUCCCCGUGAGCGUCGUGAGAGACACAGCUCUGGGCAGGAUAGAGGUGGGCUGUGGCCACCUUUCCGUGGGUGCCUCACGCAGACAGUGGACCCAGUGCCUCUUUCAAGGCACCACUGGUCUCCCACCAUCUAACCAAUCAGUCCAUUAGCCCUGGGAUGCAGGCCGACCUCCCUUCCUCAUUCUUAACCUCAUAUGGAAAUGCUAGUCUUUUAGGACAGGGGAAUGCACGACAGGCUAUCACCGUGUAAUUUCAGUAGAGAAGAUGCUGCAACAGUUACAGCGUGUGAUAAUAGGUACAUGGUCAGACGGGUCACGGAACCCUCCAACCACUGAAGAAACUUUCCUAAGGCUAUUGAGUGAUGUCAGCUCGUGCUUAAAUGAGAAAUGAAAACCAUGUGUCUCCAAAACUACCUUUUUCUGGGUGAUGGCAUUGUGGGUGAUUUUCGUGUUCUUUAUACUUUC